UUUAUCAUGUCCAUUCUACCUUCCAGGCACUGUACUCAGUCCUGGAGUUAAAGGGGUCGAGAAGACAGGCAGAUAUGUCUCCACCUUCAUGGAAUUUAGGCACCCAGCGGAAGAUAAUAUUUACAUGGAGACAACAACCUGCCCAGUUGUGGGACUUUCUGUAGUAGAAGAGCAGCCUGGUUUAAGCGCUGAGAAAGCCUUCGUUUCAGGAAAAAAAUAUUUAGGAAGGACAGUAUCAGAAACCCAAGGAGAGAACCAAAUUACAAAACACUGAGAAGUUACAACACGAAGGGAUUUUGCACAACAGAAGACUUGAUGUCAGUGGCCUUUCCUGUCUUUUGUGAAAGCUUAAACCCUCUGAAGAAAUUAUGCCAGGUGUUCCGGAGAGGGAAGAGAGAGAAGUGACUUGCAAGGGCUCUCCCUCAAAAGCAAGGGGUUCUUUGACAAGAGAGUAAGGAUGUGGAAGAGGAAAUGGGGAAGCCAGAGGUCAUGAGGACACUUAAGUAGCCUUGUGUGGAGGCCCGUGAGUGGAGGAAUAGAGUUCUCCUGCCAACAGAGGAUUCUCCAGCCCUAGUCAAGCCUUCAGAUGACUGCAGCUUGGUAACAUCUUGACAGCAAGCUCGUGAGAUCCUGAGCCGGAAGCACUGGCUAAAUUGUUCCUGACUAGACUAGAAUCUGUGAGGUGAGAAAAGUUUGUUGUUCCAGGAUGCAGGGUGUGGAUGUCAUGU